GCUGGAUUUGGUGUGGGGAGUAACAAUGGUGGGGGUGGCAAUGGAGGCGAUGCUGCUGGUUGGGGUGGCUGGGGUGCUGCAGCUGCUCCAGCUCCUACUGGUGGUGCUCCCGACGACACCUCCACUGGAUGGGGAUGAGGGGGAGAGAAACUGCCCUCUUUUGUGCAGUAACUAAUAGGUUAAUGUUUAUGUUUUCAAAGGACUUGUUAGUGGAGACUUACUUUCAUG
rnacentral:misc_RNA from 1 species